UACGUAGGGGGCAAGCGUUGUCCGGAUUUAUUGGGCGUAAAGAGCGUGUAGGCGGCCAAGCAGGUCCGCUGUGAAAACUCGAGGCUCAACCUCGAGACGUCGGUGGAAACCGUUUGGCUAGAGUCCGGAAGAGGAGAGUGGAAUUCCCGGUGUAGCGGUGAAAUGCGCAGAUAUCGGGAAGAACAUCCGUGGCGAAGGCGGCUCUCUGGGACGGUACUGACGCUGAGACGCGAAAGCGUGGGGAGCGAACAGG
rnacentral:rRNA from 1 species